CGAACGCUGGCGGAAUGCUUUACACAUGCAAGUCGAGCGGCAGCGCGGGGCAACCCUGGCGGCGAGCGGCGAACGGGUGAGUAAUAUAUCGGAACGUACCUUCAGUGGGGAUAACGUAGCGAAAGUUACGCUAAUACCGCAUAUUCUGUGAGCAGGAAAGCAGGGGAUCGCAAGACCUUGCGCUGAUUGAGCGGCCGAUAUCAGAUUAGCUAGUUGGUGAGGUAAAGGCUCACCAAGGCGACGAUCUGUAGCGGGUCUGAGAGGAUGAUCCGCCACACUGGAACUGAGACACGGUCCAGACUCCUACGGGAGGCAGCAGUGGGGAAUUUUGGACAAUGGGCGCAAGCCUGAUCCAGCCAUGCCGCGUGAGUGAAGAAGGCCUUCGGGUUGUAAAGCUCUUUCGGCCGGGAAGAAAUCGCACAGGUUAAUACCCUGUGUGGAUGACGGUACCGGAAUAAGAAGCACCGGCUAACUACGUG
rnacentral:rRNA from 1 species